UUUAAAAGCUGAUUUAUUAAAACAAUAGUGCAUUACAUUAACUGUAUCGGGGUAGUUAAAUUCAUCAGACAGUUUAUCCAUAUUUAUCUAAGCAAAAAUAGCAAAAGAAAGUGUAUACUCAGAAAAUUACAUUAUUAUUAUCUGCUUGAAGUUACUUUUACAAAUUUACAAAAAAGUACAAUGGAUGCCUUACUGAUAAUUAUUCUGGUGUUUAUUUCUUCAGUGCUUGGUGUCGAUCCUACCUGUCCUGCGGGUUACGUUUACACAGGCUCAAGCUGUUUAAGUAUUGGAGCCAUAAUUGGAAUAUGUAUUGGAAUUGUAGCGUUUAUAGCGUUUAUCACUGGCUUAAUAAUAGUCAUUAAAAAAAAGUACUUUAACUAGAAGAUAGAAAUGAAUAGCGUGAACUGCCAACUUAUGGACAACAACUUGAAUAUCGGCAACAACUGUAUACACCUGAUUGAGUUUUCGCAAACAAACAUUGAUGAGUCAUUUAUCUGCAGUUAACAUUAGAGCUGUUAUUUGUUUUAUUAUUAUUUUUUUUUUAAUUCAUAAUAGACAUGCCUAUGGUUCGGAGUGUUUGCAUUCCUUUUGUAUUUUAUGUUUUCAGAGUUUUAAAUUGAAUUAACAAAACAAAUGAUAUAAUAAAUCACUUCUAUUACAAAUCAUCUUGUUAAUUUACACUGAUGAAUAAAUUAAAAACGAAAUCCAAACUUUA